CAAACCCAUGACCUUUGGCAUGACUCUUAUACCAAAGUAUAAAUUGAAGAAUGUGCUACAUCUCAACUAAAAACAACAUAUGCUGAUAGUUGGACUGCACAUUUAUGUUUAUAUAUUAUUUAUGCACAGCA